AGUCACCCAUGCUCCUGUAGGGAACUGGAAUGAACACACUCAUCCACCAAACUAGACUUGACGAGAGUCAGUUCUUUGUCCUGCCUGUUUUGGGGUAAACAGACUCCCCUGAAAAAGUAAUACAAAAGAGGCUAUUGGAACUUUUAAGAGGCUCUGCACAAUCCAGUCCGCAGCUAUCUCUUGUCCAGAACAACCUCCCUGUCUGUCGCGGUGCUCUGCCUGGCCAUCCUCAGAACCCAGCAAGCUGUUUUUCUGCCUUAGGGCCUUUCCUCCCUUCUUUUGUUGAGAUGUAAUCUUGGCUGGAGCCAGAAUGUUUGGAUUCUGUGCAGCUCCAGCUCCAGGGGAUCCAAGGCCAUCUUCUGCUCCUGUGGAUAACUACACAUACCUGUAAGCACACAGGCAAGAAAACUAUAGGGAAACUAGUCCAAAAUCACAAUAAGAAGUGGCAGAAACUGGAUUGAACAGCAGACUCGAGGCAACCAUCAUUAAAUGUUAACUGGGGUUUGGAACAGGUCCUCCUACCAAAGAAGUCAGCAUGAUGGGAACAAGGCAAGCUAUCCAUCUACUGAAGUCUGAAGCUUGCCCAGAAAGUGGGAGAGCAGCAGAAAGAAAGGCCUUGGCUUUUGUGCCCUUGGGGAGCUGCCUGAGGAUCCAGUCAAGCCUGGUGCUGGGGCUUCCUGUUCACCUGCUGUCAUGGCCCAUGCUUACCUCAUCCUAAUGCUGCCCCCAUAGAAGAACUUGGCUUCUGGCCCUAAGAGUGGACACUCAGAAACGGGGGGUAAACUACUCCUUUCUACUGCUGUUCUCGCCCCAGCUAGUCCCCAGAAUCUCCAAGAGCUUUUCUCUCUCCUGGUACCCACCUACCUCCUGGAAGGCCUAUAGACUCACCAGAUUUGAAGGUUGUACUGAAAUGUAAAUGCAUUUUAUCUCAGAGCUUUGUGGAUCAGAGUAUCCAUGAGAUUUCUAUUUCUAGUGGACAUAAAAGACAAAGCAGCAGCAGGGGAAGAGCACUUUUUAUCUUUGUUAUUUCUGCAGUCAUUACAAGCCAGUGAGGGUGAGAGCAGCAGCCAUGAUACCACCACCUGAGGGAUAUCUCCCAUGUAACAGCAGCCAUGCAAAGGGUCUAUAGAUGAUGUCACUUUAUCUGCACAUCAGUGUGAAACAUUAUUCCCUUUUUAAAAAACAGAUGAAGAAACUGAGGCUUUGAGAAGUUAAAUUAUUUGCCCAAGGUCACACAUAGGUAAUAAGUGACAGAAUCAAGAUUGGAGCCCAGGUCUGACUGACCCGGUUCGUUAUUACCAUACUUAUAUAGACAACUUGGAGAGGACAACACAAGCGCUUCCUAGAUAGAGAGGCAGGGGCGAGCUGUGAGAGUCCUUCUAUAAUCACCUAAGGACAGUAAGAAACGCUAUUCACAAGGCAGCAUGGUUAAUGCAGAGUAUAGGUACUGAUGCUAGACAGGCCUUGGUACAAAUCUUCCUUCUGCCUCCUACUGAUUAUUCAGGCAACUUGCCAGACUUUAUACUGUCUCAGUGUCUUCGUCUCUGAAGCAGGUAAAAUCUCUUCCUCAUAGGGACAGAGAAGCGAUCUAAAGGUAGGAGGAGUGGGGUACACUGUCCCAGAGACACUCAAUUCGAUUCCUCCCCAUCCCGUUAAAGACCACUGAGAAAAUCAAGUAUAAAUCACAUCUCAGGUCUGAUAGGUCUAUGGAGUAAUCCAAAUCUUCCUGUCAGAGCAGCAAGGACUCCUGGAGUGGGAGUGAGUACAUAUUCCCUGACAUUCCAAGUGACAUUCCUGAACCUAUUUUCCUGAGUAGUUGUUAAACAUGGCCAUUAGGGCAUUUAGUAUUGUUACAUACAUUAUGAAUUAAACACGAUUUUCCGAGUUUGCCUAAACUUACAUACCAUGUGCAAUAAAAUAGAGUCCUAGUACUAGUACCGAUAAGGUACACACUGUUUUAUCAUUGUCAUACGUCUAUAGGUAAAGUUGAUUCUGAGUGCCAGCUAUCUAACUUAACUCUAUCAUUGUAUUAAAUUUAGAAACACUUGGUAACAA